GGAGAGAUGGCCGAGUGGUUGAAGGCGCCGCUCUCGAAAAGCGGUAGGGGCGAAAGCUUCUCGUGGGUUCGAAUCCCUCUCUCUCCGCCA
rnacentral:tRNA from 1 species